GUCUACGGCCAUACCACCCUGAACGCGCCCGAUCUCGUCUGAUCUCGGAAGCUAAGCAGGGUCGGGCCUGGUUAGUACUUAGUACUUGGAUGGGAGAAAAGGACAUAUGUGUAGACU
rnacentral:rRNA from 1 species